AUUAGAAUAAACAGGGCACCACCUGUUUUCAGUAGCUUUGGACAAAACAGGGAAUCUAUAUGAACUAACUACUCGAUGAUAUUAAUCGAUUAGAAUAUAUAGCUCAUAACACCUACUUAAGAAAUGAGCAGAAAAAUUGAGCAAAUAAAAGGUCUCUGAAGAUGGGUAGAAUCAAAACGAAAGAAAAAUUGAAAAAUAAAAUAGACAGAACUUAAACAUACAAACAGCUGUUAAUAGAAAAAAAUAACAGAAGAAAGGGAAAGAAUACCUUAGGGAAUCGAAAACAAACAGACCCAGGCUCAAAACUCAGACUUGACCACUUUGAGAUCGAACGGACCUUAGUCUAAGUGUUCUCAACUGAAAACACUUUGAUCAAUGUCUAUUAGACCACAAAUAUUUACUUUAUUCGGACAGAUUCCAUAUUUUAAGUUUUCUAGGGUUCUUAAGGUUGAUUUGGGACCUGAAGGUUCCUAGACAAAUUUGAACCGAACCGAGGUCAUUCAGGAUAUGAGGGAGGUUAGGAGGAUGAUUAGUGUGAUUUUGGGGCUAGUUGGUGUAUAUUUGGGUUUUUUUUGAAUCUUCAAAUGAAGAUUCGAGACGAUGUAGGUUGAUUCGAGGUAAGACGGCCACAGAUUCGUGUUCAUGGUGGUCAGGUGGAUCUAGUGUGUUAUGAUGGUGGUCGGCGGCGUUGUGGCCACCGGGUUUUAGGCGGUGGAAUCCUAAGGUGGCUAGGGUUUGAAGGGGUUCAUCUCUGAGUUACAAAGACGAUGAACAGAAAAG
rnacentral:lncRNA from 1 species